rnacentral:misc_RNA from 1 species
GAGACACCCAGGUCAAUGGAAACCACAUCACAGUCCAAUCAUGAAUCGAUCCCAGGUGAUCAGAUUGAGUCAUAUAAUGCUAACCAGAACUAUGGUGGUUCAGAGGCUAUUACAGAUGAUAUGGAGCAUGACCAAGAUCUUGAUGGGGUUUUUGGUCCCAAUGCUGAGGACGAGUACAUGCAUGAAACGCCUGAGGAUGCACGAGGUCUUGAAAAUGGC